rnacentral:misc_RNA from 1 species
GAUGAAGAACGCAGCGAAAUGCGAUACUUGGUGUGAAUUGCAGAAUCCCGUGAACCAUCGAGUCUUUGAACGCAAGUUGCGCCCGAAGCCAUUAGGCCGAGGGCACGCCUGCCUGGGCGUCACACGUCGUUGCCCCCCCAUCUACUCCUUCGGGAUUGCGGGGGGCGGAUGAUGGCCUCCCGUGCGCCUCGUCGCGCGGUUGGCAUAAAUGCCAAGUCCUCGGCGACGCACGCCACGACAAUCGGUGGUUGCGAAACCUCGGUUGCCCGUCGUGUGCGGUCGUCGCGCAUCGAGGGCUCGAAAAAAUUGCCGGGCUCCGGCUCGGCUUUCAACGCGACCCCAGGUCAGGCGGGGUUACCCGCUGAAUUUAAGCAUAUCAAUAAGCGGAAGA